AAAAAUAUUUUGGCCUUGUGCCUUGGCAGAAUCGUUAGCACGCCGAGCAAAAUGCUUAGCAGCAUUUCGUCCGUCUUUACGUUGUGCAAUCAAACUCUGCCGAAGUCAGCUUCGUCUUUCAUCCUUUCAGGGUCGAUAAAAUAAGUACCAGUUGAGCCCUGGGAUCA